rnacentral:rRNA from 1 species
AGCGAACGCUGGCGGCAGGCUUAACACAUGCAAGUCGAGCGGGCACCUUCCGGGGUGUCAGCGGCGGACGGGUGAGUAACGCGUGGGAACGUGCCCUCUGGUUCGGAAUACCUCAGGGAAACUUGAGCUAAUACCGGAUACGCCCUCGUGGUGAAAGGCUUGCUGCCGGAGGAUCGGCCCGCGUCUGAUUAGUUAGUUGGUGAGGUAACGGCUGACCAAGGCGACGAUCAGUAGCUGGUCUGAGAGGAUGAUCAGCCACACUGGGACUGAGACACGGCCCAGACUCCAACGGGAGGCAGCAGUGGGGAAUAUUGGACAAUGAGCGCAAGCCUGAUCCAGCCAGUCCGCGUGAGUGAUGAAGGCCUUAGGGUUGUAAAGCUCUUUUAUCCGGGACGAUAAUGACGGUACCGGAGGAAUAAGCCCCGGCUAACUUCGUG